UUGGUGAGGUAAUGGCUCACCAAGGCGUCGACGGGUAGCCGGCCUGAGAGGGUGACCGGCCACACUGGGACUGAGACACGGCCCAGACUCCUACGGGAGGCAGCAGUGGGGAAUAUUGCACAAUGGGCGAAAGCCUGAUGCAGCAACGCCGCGUGAGGGAUGACGGCCUUCGGGUUGUAAACCUCUUUUAGCAGGGAAGAAGCGAAAGUGACGGUACCUGCAGAAAAAGCGCCGGCUAACUACGUGCCAGCAGCCGCGGUAAUACGUAGGGCGCAAGCGUUAUCCGGAAUUAUUGGGCGUAAAGAGCUCGUAGGCGGUUUGUCGCGUCUGCUGUGAAAUCCCGAGGCUCAACCUCGGGCCUGCAGUGGGUACGGGCAGACUAGAGUGCGGUAGGGGAGAUUGGAAUUCCUGGUGUAGCGGUGGAAUGCGCAGAUAUCAGGAGGAACACCGAUGGCGAAGGCAGAUCUCUGGGCCGUAACUGACGCUGAGGAGCGAAAGGGUGGGGAGCAAACAGGCUUAGAUACCCUGGUAGUCCACCCCGUAAACGUUGGGAACUAGUUGUGGGGUCCAUUCCACGGAUUCCGUGACGCAGCUAACGCAUUAAGUUCCCCGCCUGGGGAGUACGGCCGCAAGGCUAAAACUCAAAGGAAUUGACGGGGACCCGCACAAGCGGCGGAGCAUGCGGAUUAAUUCGAUGCAACGCGAAGAACCUUACCAAGGCUUGACAUAUACGAGAACGGGCCAGAAAUGGUCAACUCUUUGGACACUCGUAAACAGGUGGUGCAUGGUUGUCGUCAGCUCGUGUCGUGAGAUGUUGGGUUAAGUCCCGCAACGAGCGCAACCCUCGUUCUAUGUUGCCAGCACGUAAUGGUGGGAACUCAUGGGAUACUGCCGGGGUCAACUCGGAGGAAGGUGGGGAUGACGUCAAAUCAUCAUGCCCCUUAUGUCUUGGGCUUCACGCAUGCUACAAUGGCCGGUACAAAGGGCUGCAAUACCGUGAGGUGGAGCGAAUCCCAAAAAGCCGGUCCCAGUUCGGAUUGAGGUCUGCAACUCGACCUCAUGAAGUCGGAGUCGCUAGUAAUCGCAGAUCAGCAACGCUGCGGUGAAUACGUUCCCGGGUCUUGUACACACCGCCCGUCAAGUCAUGAAAGUCGGUAACACCUGAAGCCGGUGGCCUAACCCUUGUGGAGGGAGCCGUCGAAGGUG
rnacentral:rRNA from 1 species